rnacentral:rRNA from 1 species
UACGUAGGGGGCAAGCGUUGUCCGGAAUCAUUGGGCGUAAAGAGCGCGUAGGCGGCCAGACAGGUCCGUUGUGAAACUCGAGGCUCAACCUCGAGAUGUCGAUGGAAACCGUCUGGCUAGAGUCCGGAAGAGGAGUGUGGAAUUCCUGGUGUAGCGGUGAAAUGCGCAGAUAUCAGGAAGAACACCUAUGGCGAAGGCAGCACUCUGGGACGGUACUGACGCUGAGACGCGAAGCGUGGGAGCGAACAGG